GGUUCAGUAGUUCAGAAGAGUAGAACGCUUGCCUGUCACGCAAGAGGUCGCGGGUUCGAGUCCCGUCUGGACCGCCA
rnacentral:tRNA from 1 species